rnacentral:rRNA from 1 species
UUAGUCUUAUAAUUUAAGACUGGAAUGAAAGGAUAAACUGAAAAAGCUUUUUCUUUAUUAUUUUUUUUUGAAUUUUACUUUUUAGUAAAAAGGCUAAAAUAAUCCCUUAAGACAAAAAGACCCUAUAAAGCUUUACAUGAUUUAAUUUUACAAAUUUGGUUUCAUGUUUAACUGGGGCGGUUAAAAGAUAAACACUUUUGCAUUAAUUAAAUAUAGUAAUUUAUAUAUCCAAAAAUUUUGAAGUCUAAACAAGUUACUUUAGGGAUAACAGCGUUAUAUACUUAGAAAGUUCAAAUUGACAAGUAUGUUUGCGACCUCGAUGUUGGAUUAGGUUUCCUUUAUUGCGCAAGAGGAAUA